GUUAACGGUUUAACCGGUUAACCCCGGGUUAAUUGACCCUUUUUUGUACUACGUCGGUGGCAAACAAGCAUACGGCCUGCCUGAUGUUAAGCAGUAUCCGUAGCCUAUGUACGCCUGCAACUCCGGAGGAGUUACAUGCGCGUUGCCGAC